AACGCGAAGAACCUUACCUGGGCUCGAACGGCUUACGACAGGGGUGGAAACACCCUCUCCCCUUAAAAGGCGUGAGUCGAGGUGCUGCAUGGCUGUCGUCAGCUCGUGUCGUGAGAUGUUGGGUUAAGUCCCGCAACGAGCGCAACCCUUGUCCUGUGUUACUCGCCGCAAGGCAGACUCGCAGGAGACCGCCAGCGAUAAGCUGGAGGAAGGUGGGGAUGACGUCAAGUCCUCAUGGCCUUUAUGUCCAGGGCUACACACGUGCUACAAUGGGCGGUACAAAGCGCUGCUAAGCCGCAAGGUGGAGCCAAUCGCAAAAAAGCCGCUCUCAGUUCGGAUUGCAGGCUGCAACUCGCCUGCAUGAAGCUGGAAUCGCUAGUAAUGCUAUAUCAGAACGAUAGCGUGAAUACGUUCCCGGGCCUUGUACACACCGGAGUA
rnacentral:rRNA from 1 species